GACGAACCGUGCAAACGUUGUUCGGAUUCACUGGGCUUAAAGGGCGCGUAGGCGGUUCGUUAAGUCGUGGGUGAAAUUUUUCGGCUCAACCGGAAAACUGCCCCCGAUACUGGCGAGCUGGAGGAAGGCAGGGGCAGCGGGAACUACCAGUGGAGCGGUGAAAUGCGUUGAUAUUGGUAGGAACGCCGGUGGCGAAAGCGCGCUGCUGGACCUUUCCUGACGCUGAGGCGCGAAAGCUAGGGGAGCAAACGGG
rnacentral:rRNA from 1 species